rnacentral:rRNA from 1 species
UAAAAUUUAUAAAAUUAGGUAAUAAAGAAAUUUCUGAAACCUAAAGAAUUUGGCGGUAUUUUAAAUAAUUGGAGGAACCUGUUACUUAAUUGACAAUCCACAACAUAUCUUGCCUAAAUUUUAUUUGUAUAUCGUCGUUUUGAUAAUAUUUAAAAAUAAUAAUCGAUCUUAAUAAAUUUUUAAAAUUCAGAUCAAGGUGCAGUAUAUUUAGGUAGUAAUGGGUUACAAUAUAUUUAUAUAUUACGAAUAUAAAGUUGAAAUUAUAUUGAAGGUGGAUUCAAAAGUAAAAUUAAACUAAAAAGUUAGUUUGAUUAAUAAUUUAAAAUAUGC